UUUCCGUAGGUGAACCUGCGGAAGGAUCAUUAAUGAGUUGUCAUGGGGUUCGAUACUGGCAGCCAAUUUUUGGAUGCAUGUGCUUGCCCUAACAAUCAUCUUCCAAACACCUGUGCACAUUUUUGAGGGAGUCUUGAGUUGGUUGCCGCUCUUGGGUGAUUUUCUCACAUUCCCUUAAAUCAUUAUACGCUAUUAACAAUGUUGAACGUGCUCUGUGCCGCAAGGCUAUUAAUAUAAUACAACUUUUAACAACGGAUCUCUUGGCUCUC
rnacentral:misc_RNA from 1 species